AGAGUUUGAUCCUGGCUCAGAUUGAACGCUGGCGGCAGGCCUAACACAUGCAAGUCGAGCGGAUGAGUGGAGCUUGCUCCAUGAUUCAGCGGCGGACGGGUGAGUAAUGCCUAGGAAUCUGCCUGGUAGUGGGGGACAACGUUUCGAAAGGAACGCUAAUACCGCAUACGUCCUACGGGAGAAAGCAGGGGACCUUCGGGCCUUGCGCUAUCAGAUGAGCCUAGGUCGGAUUAGCUAGUUGGUGAGGUAAAGGCUCACCAAGGCGACGAUCCGUAACUGGUCUGAGAGGAUGAUCAGUCACACUGGAACUGAGACACGGUCCAGACUCCUACGGGAGGCAGCAGUGGGGAAUAUUGGACAAUGGGCGAAAGCCUGAUCCAGCCAUGCCGCGUGUGUGAAGAAGGUCUUCGGAUUGUAAAGCACUUUAAGUUGGGAGGAAGGGCAGUAAGUUAAUACCUUGCUGUUUUGACGUUACCGGCAGAAUAAGCACCGGCUAACUUCGUGCCAGCAGCCGCGGUAAUACGAAGGGUGCAAGCGUUAAUCGGAAUUACUGGGCGUAAAGCGCGCGUAGGUGGUUCGUUAAGUUGGAUGUGAAAGCCCCGGGCUCAACCUGGGAACUGCAUCCAAAACUGGCGAGCUAGAGUAUGGCAGAGGGUGGUGGAAUUUCCUGUGUAGCGGUGAAAUGCGUAGAUAUAGGAAGGAACACCAGUGGCGAAGGCGACCACCUGGGCUAAUACUGACACUGAGGUGCGAAAGCG
rnacentral:rRNA from 1 species